GUGGAGUGGGUGACAUAAACUUUUGUUUUAAUUUAUGAAGUUUUGUACGUUAUCUCUAUGUUUUGCAAUUCAUGUUUCACUUUGAGUAUGCAACUCAUAAUUCUCAUCAUUGCUAAUACUGAUUCCUGUUAGUAAGGAAUGGAAAUUCAUGCUUCAUUGAUCAUUCUAGCAAUUUUUUUUCCUUAUUCAGUUAUUCCUUUUGGAAAAAUCUCAUUUCUCCUUAUUCUAUUUUCUUUUUCAUUACAAUCUUCUCCUUAAGAGUUUCUGUUGUUUGAUCCAUCCACAACAAUUGAAAGAGAUUGAACUAUCCUUUCAAGACAGAUUUGGAGUGGAUGGCAUAACAGUUACUAUAUGGUAUAUAUUCCCUCCCAUUGCCCUAGCCACUCAUUGCUGUUUUGGUACCUCACGAGAAUACAUUGAAGUAAUUAAUUAGGGAAUUGUAGGUUUAUUUCAUAUUUUGGAGGAACACACAGGUGAUUUAUGCAACUCAUUCUUCUCAUGUUCAGCAAAAACUGGGGCAGUGUUUGGCUGAAAUAACAAUUAUUGUUACAAUGUCCUCGACCGUUUAUGGUUCAUUGCUUGAUCUACCUUCGGGUGACCAAAAAGGGUAUAGGAGUGGUGAUGUUGGCUUAAGGUUGAGAUCUUUAGAAGUUCAUUCCUCUAAAGCUUCAUAAAAGCUCUUUUUGAGCAAUGCUCCCAUUUUCGGAUUUGGUGAUUAAUUCGCCUUGUAUCUCUCAUCUAAUUUAGUUCCAAAGGAACUCAUUGGUGAAAACACUU
rnacentral:misc_RNA from 1 species